rnacentral:pre_miRNA from 1 species
GGAUUUAGGGUCAGAUCGCUACUUAGGAAAGCGCACAUGAGAUGUGUGCUUUCCUAUGUGCGCCUCCCUAAGUGGUGAUCUGACUCUAAAUGAUGA